AGGUGAAACAGAUCAGGGCGUGACAGGACAACGAGUGGGCAGGAUGGAGUGGCAGGGGGCCCUUCCUCAGGAUCAUGCCUUCGUAGAGCUCUUGCUUCCUGGGCUUCCCAGAGAGCUGGACAUUCAACAGCUGCUCAAAAACACAUAGGGCAAAGUCAAGCUCAAUGCCUGCAGGAUUUAGCAGUGUCUGAAGGAACUGCAGGGGAAGAUGGCUGAGUCCUGGACGGCGGAGUGUCCGCCCAGCCCCACAGAAUGUCUGCUGUGGUUUAACCCACAGAAACCAAGCGCUGUCAGGCCUGUUGCCAUGGGAUACCAAGAGCUUCUUGACUUCCUGAAAGCUGUGGUAAUAAUCAGUGGUGUAAAAUACUUCAGUAAAAAUACUUGAAAGUAAAACUUAAG